AGAGUUUGAUCCUGGCUCAGGAUGAACGCUAGCGGCAGGCCUAAUACAUGCAAGUUGAACGGACGGUAGCAAUACCGUUAGUGGCGCACGGGUGCGUAACGCGUAUGCAACCUACCCAUCAAAGGGGGAUAGCCCGGGGAAACCCGGAUUAGUACCGCAUAAGAUAGCAGUUUGGCAUCAAGCAGCUAUUAAACAUUUAUGGUUGAUGGAUGGGCAUGCGUAAGAUUAGCUAGUUGGUGAGGUAAAGGCUCACCAAGGCGAUGAUCUUUAGGGGUUCUGAGAGGAAGAUCCCCCACACUGGUACUGAGACAGGGACCAGACUCCUACGGGAGGCAGCAGUAGGGAAUAUUGGGCAAUGGUGGCAACGCUGACCCAGCCAUGCCGCGUGCAGGAAGAAGGCCUUCUGGGUUGUAAACUGCUUUUGGAAGGGAACAAAACGGCUCUGCGGAGCAACUUGAGUGUACCUUCAGAAUAAGCACCGGCUAACUCCGUGCCAGCAGCCGCGGUAAUACGGAGGGUGCAAGCGUUGUCCGGAUUUAUUGGGUUUAAAGGGUGCGUAGGCGGCCUAUUAAGUCAGGGGUGAAAGACUGCAGCUCAACUGUAGCAGUGCCUUUGAUACUGAUGGGCUUGAGUAUAGAUGAGGCCGGCGGAAUGGGUGGUGUAGCGGUGAAAUGCAUAGAUACCAUCCAGAACACCGAUUGCGAAGGCAGCCGGCUAAACUACAACUGACGCUGAGGCACGAAAGCGUGGGGAUCCAACAGGAUUAGAUACCCUCGUAGUCC
rnacentral:rRNA from 1 species